GGUGAUCUUUGAACCAAAGUUUAGUUACUAGUAGUUCAAAAAUAGGAGCCCAUUCCCAAAAGACCACAGUGGUGGUGUCAUGUCAUCGUCACUUUAAGACCAUUGCUCGGACACUGCCACUUUCAGAGGAUGCUGAGCCUCCAGAAGGGACUGCCACGCUUGUCCUAUGCCAAUUAUAUUAUAUUCUAGAAGAAAAGGACCUUCAUCUUGCUCUCCUUGACUCAGAAACACUAAGUGGCAAGAAAACAGCCAGAGCCAUCAUUCCGUGGGACUGUGUGGCGUUAAUGGAUUUUUAAGAGAAGACCCCCUUUCGGCAAGGAGUUUUCCCCUGAUCGCCAUAAGAACCAACAGUUUAUAAUCAAACAGCUGUCUGGGUUGCAUUUCAGCUGAGCCGGACCACCUGCUGGCUGUUAACCUCUGGAAGCUUGCAGAUGGCGUUCCAGUGGCCAGAGGGAGGACUCCACUGAAGCCAACACUAUUUUGCACUUGUUUUGGAGACAAACCAUAAAAAUAGGCUUGGCAGCAAGGAGCUCUGCCCGGGGGGGGAGGCAGCACUGCAAAAGCCCUUUAAAAGGAAAUAACCGUUUGCUCGCGGUGACUGGAUGGGAAUGCGCCAUCUCCACGCAGCCCGCGGAUCCCACACGUGGUCCAUAUUAAGCUGGAGUCUGGCAGAGCCGUGCACCUUCAGAGCACGAGUGAUUCACCAUGGCAUUCCAGAGUUCGCCAUCUGCUUUCUUCCCCUGCUCAUCCCUCUAACUAAUGGAAAAGAUGGUUGUGUGCUCUCAUCCACCCGGGGGGAAUUUCCUAAACCCUAUAAAAUCCAGUCCUUGUA